CCUACGGGGCGCAGCAGUGGGGAAUAUUGGACAAUGGGCGAAAGCCUGAUCCAGCCAUGCCGCGUGUGUGAAGAAGGCCUUCGGGUUGUAAAGCACUUUCAGUGGGGAAGAAAGCCUUGGGGCUAAUACCCUCGAGGAAGGACAUCACCCACAGAAGAAGCACCGGCUAACUCCGUGCCAGCAGCCGCGGUAAUACGGAGGGUGCGAGCGUUAAUCGGAAUUACUGGGCGUACAGCGCGCGUAGGCGGUCUGAUAAGCCGGUUGUGAAAGCCCCGGGCUCAACCUGGGAACGGCAUCCGGAACUGUCAGGCUAGAGUGCAGGAGAGGAAGGUAGAAUUCCCGGUGUAGCGGUGAAAUGCGUAGAGAUCGGGAGGAAUACCAGUGGCGAAGGCGGCCUUCUGGACUGACACUGACGCUGAGGUGCGAAAGCGUGGGUAGCAAACAGGAUUAGAUACCCCGGUAGUC
rnacentral:rRNA from 1 species